CCAAGUUUUUAAGGGCGCACGGUGGAUGCCUUGGCACCAGGAACCGAUGAAGGACGUGGGAGGCCACGAUAGGCCCCGGGGAGCUGUCAACCGAGCUUUGAUCCGGGGGUGUCCGAAUGGGGAAACCCGGCAGUCGUCAUGGGCUGUCACCCGCUGCUGAACACAUAGGCAGUGUGGAGGGAACGCGGGGAAGUGAAACAUCUCAGUACCCGCAGGAAGAGAAAACAACCGUGAUUCCGGGAGUAGUGGCGAGCGAAACCGGAUGAGGCCAAACCGUAUGUGUGUGAUACCCGGCAGGGGUUGCGCAUGCGGGGUUGUGGGAUUCUUUUUCAUAGUCUGCCGGCUGUGAGACGAGUCAGAAACCGUUGAUGUAGGCGAAGGACAUGCGAAAGGUCCGGCGUAGAGGGUAAGACCCCCGUAGCUGAAACAUUGACGGCUCGUUUAAAGACACGCGGGGCCGAGAAAUCCCGUGUGAAUCUGGCGGGACCACCCGCUAAGCCUAAAUAUUCCCUGGUGACCGAUAGCGGAUAGUACCGUGAGGGAAUGGUGAAAAGUACCGCGGGAGCGGAGUGAAAUAGUACCUGAAACCGUGUGCCUACAAGCCGUGGGAGCGUCGCGCAUCGAGCUUGCUCGGUGCGUCGUGACUGCGUGCCUUUUGAAGAAUGAGCCUGCGAGUUUGCGGUAUGUUGCGAGGUUAACCCGUGUGGGGAAGCCGUAGCGAAAGCGAGUCCGAAUAGGGCGUUUGAGUAGCGUGCCCAAGACCCGAAGCGGAGUGAUCUAGCCAUGGGCAGGUUGAAGCGGAGGUAAGACUUCGUGGAGGACCGAACCCACCAGGGUUGAAACCUGGGGGAUGACCUGUGGUUAGGGGUGAAAGGCCAAUCAAACUCCGUGAUAGCUGGUUCUCCCCGAAAUGCAUUUAGGUGCAGCGUCGUGUGUUUCUUGCCGGAGGUAGAGCACUGGAUAGGCGAUGGGCCCUACCGGGUUACUGACCUUAGCCAAACUCCGAAUGCCGGUAAGUGAGAGCGCGGCAGUGAGACUGUGGGGGAUAAGCUCCAUGGUCGAGAGGGAAACAGCCCAGAGCAUCGACUAAGGCCCCUAAGCGUACGCUAAGUGGGAAAGGAUGUGGAGUCGCAGAGACAACCAGGAGGUUGGCUUAGAAGCAGCCACCCUUGAAAGAGUGCGUAAUAGCUCACUGGUCAAGUGAUUCCGCGCCGACAAUGUAGCGGGGCUCAAGCGUACCGCCGAAGUCGUGUCAUUGCAGUAUGUACCCCCAACGGGGACUGUGAUGGGUAGGGGAGCGUCGUGUGCCGGGUGAAGCAGCCGCGGAAGCGAGUUGUGGACGGUUCACGAGUGAGAAUGCAGGCAUGAGUAGCGAUACACACGUGAGAAACGUGUGCGCCGAUUGACUAAGGGUUCCUGGGUCAAGCUGAUCUGCCCAGGGUAAGUCGGGACCUAAGGCGAGGCCGACAGGCGUAGUCGAUGGACAACCGGUUGAUAUUCCGGUACCCGCUUUGAAACGCCCAAUAUCGAAUCAGGCGAUGCUAAGUCCGUGAAGCGCCCUGGAGUCUUCGGACAAAGGGGAGUGGUGGAGCCGACGAACCAGACUUGUAGUAGGUAAGCGAUGGGGUGACGCAGGAAGGUAGUCCAGCCCGGGCGGUGGUAGUCCCGGGGUAAGGGUGUAGGCCGUGUGAUAGGCAAAUCCGUCACACAUUAAGGCUGAGACCUGAUGCCGAGCCGAUUGUGGUGAAGUGGAUGAUCCUAUGCUGUCGAGAAAAGCCUCUAGCGAGUUUCAUGGCGGCCCGUACCCUAAACCGACUCAGGUGGUCAGGUAGAGAAUACCGAGGCGUUCGGGUGAACUAUGGUUAAGGAACUCGGCAAAAUGCCCCGUAACUUCGGGAGAAGGGGGGCCAUGUCUGGUGAGGGAACUUGCUUCCUGAGCUGGGUGUGGCCGCAGAGACCAGCGAGAAGCGACUGUUUACUAAAAACACAGGUCCGUGCGAAGCCGUAAGGCGAUGUAUACGGACUGACGCCUGCCCGGUGCUGGAACGUUAAGGGGACCGGUUAGCUCCAUUUCGGUGGGGCGAAGCUGAGAACUUAAGCGCCAGUAAACGGCGGUGGUAACUAUAACCAUCCUAAGGUAGCGAAAUUCCUUGUCGGGUAAGUUCCGACCUGCACGAAUGGCGUAACGACUUCUCGACUGUCUCAACCAUAGGCCCGGUGAAAUUGCACUACGAGUAAAGAUGCUCGUUCGCGCAGCAGGACGGAAAGACCCCGGGACCUUUACUAUAGCUUGAUAUUGGUCGGUUCGGCUUGUGUAGGAUAGGUGGGAGACUGUGAAGCAUGCACGCCAGUGUGUGUGGAGUCGUCGUUGAAAUACCACUCUGGUCGUGCUGGAUGUCUAACCUGGGUCCGUGAUCCGGAUCAGGGACAGUGUCCUGGGGCGGUUGCCUCCUAAAGGGUUUCCCUCAGCCUCAAUCAGGUCUUAUGGUUGUGUUUUGCGCUCCUCCCUGGAGCGAAUUAUCACUAGACUACACAGUCAAGCUCCCUUGUGCACUUACACUCAACACCUGAUUGCCAACCAGGCUGAGUUUGGGCGCCUCCGUUACCCUUUAGGAGGCAACCGCCCAGUUAAACUACCCACCAGACACUGUCCCUGAUCCGGAUCACGGACCCAGGUUAGACAUCCAGCACGACCAGAGUGGUAUUUCAACGACGACUCCACACACACUGGCGUGCAUGCUUCACAGUCUCCACCUAUCCUACACAAGCCGAACCGAACACCAAUAUCAAGCUAUAGUUCUUUCCGUCCUGCUGCGCGAAACGAGCAUCUUUACUCGUAGUCCGAGACAGUCGAGAAGUCGUUACGCCAUUCGUGCAGGUCGCUUACCCGACAAGGAAUUUCGCUACCUUAGGAUGGUUAUAGUUACCUUU
rnacentral:rRNA from 1 species